UGAAAAUCAAGAAUACCACUACCAAGUAGAAGGCAGCUUCGAGGAAGCCCAUUUCCAAUAGAAAAACUACAUGGACAUAGGAACAUCAAGAUGCCAAAUCCAGCUGAAUGAAGAAAUAGUACCUGCCUGAGGGGGAGGAAUAAAAAUAGAAUGAAGAUCAUGAGAAGUGACAUGAGGCAACCCGGAAGCAUUUCAGCAUAGCUGAUCAGAUCUACAACCUAGGGCAAUCAAA
rnacentral:lncRNA from 1 species